rnacentral:rRNA from 1 species
AUAAGAGGUCCAGCCUGCCCAGUGACACUGUUUAACGGCCGCGGUAUCCUAACCGUGCGAAGGUAGCGUAAUCACUUGUCCUUUAAAUAGGGACUAGUAUGAACGGCAUCACGAGGGUUAUACUGUCUCCUUUUUCUAAUCAGUGAAACUAAUCUCCCCGUGAAGAAGCGAGGAUAUAGCUAUAAGACGAGAAGACCCUAUGGAGCUUUAAACAAAACAACAUUUGCUAUCUUACCCAUCAAUUCCAGAAAAUUAAUUUUCAUUUUAGCACUAUGCUUGUUAGUUUUAGGUUGGGGUGACCGCGGAGAAAAAAGUAACCUCCACAUUGAAAGGGGCUCCCCCUAAGCAAAAAGCCACAACUUUAUACAUCAACAAAUUGACAUCAAUUGACCCAAUAUUUUGAUCAACGAAACAAGUUACCCUAGGGAUAACAGCGCAAUCCACUUCGAGAGCCCAUAUCGACAAGUGGGUUUACGACCUCGAUGUUGGAUCAGGG